GGUUAGGCGGCGGCGGCGGCAGCAGGGUAGGAGAGCGGCAUCGGCGACGGUGAUGGUGGCGAGGUGUUCUGUGUGCGCAGCAUAGAAACACCCGCAGUUUCGGAGAGGGAGUUCCUGUGGGAUCACAUUAAGCACUCGGAACCCAAGCUGGGUUAGCCUGGGCCGAGUCCAGACGCUGCCGCACGUACAGUUCUGGUGGCGGUGACAGACGCUGCGCUUGACUACAAGGGCCUCUCAGGCUGAGUUCUGAGGCGCAGAUCGCUGGCUCUCGACGCAUUCUCUUCCCCUCCUUACCUUUCCUGUCUUCCUUCCUGGAUCUGUGCUUCCCGGACCCUGGGAAGAGGGUGGCUAAUGAUUAAGGCCUACCUUAAAGUUUCCCAUGUCUCAAUGGACUCCUGAAUAUAACAAGCUUUAUACCUUAAAAGUGGAUAUGAAGAGUGAGAUUCCUUCUGAUGCACCAAAGACACAGGAGAGUCUGAAAGGGGUCCUUCUACAUCCAGAGCCCAUUGGGGCAGCCAAAAGUUUUCCUGCAGAAGUUGAGAUGAUUAAUAGUAAAGUGGGGAAUGAAUUCUCUCACUUGUGUGAUGAUUCGCAAAAACAAGAAAAGGACAGGAAUGGUAACCAGCAAGAACAAGAAAAAAGUGUUGUUGUGAGAAAAAAACGCAAAAGCCAGCAGGCUGGCCCUUCAUAUAUGCAGAAUUGUGUGAAAGAGAAUCAGGGAAUAUUAGGAUUGAGGCAACACCUAGAAACACCAAGUGAUGAAGAUAAUGAUUCCUCCUUCAGUGAUUGUCUUUCUUCUCCUUCAUCUAGUCUGCAUUUUGGAGACUCUGAUACUGUGACUUCGGAUGAGGAUAAAGAAGUCUCUGUAAGACAUUCCCAGACCAUUUUGAGUGCUAAAAGUAGAAGUCAUAGUGCACGUUCCCAAAAGUGGCCUCGAACUGAGACAGAAUCUGUGUCGGGAUUGUUAAUGAAAAGACCUUGUUUUCAUAGCAGUUCAUUAAGGAGACUUCCAUGCAGAAAGAGAUUUGUAAAAAAUAAUUCCUCACAGAGGACACAGAAACAAAAAGAGAGGAUAUUAAUGCAGAGGAAAAAACGAGAAGUGUUAGCCCGAAGAAAAUACGCAUUACUACCCAGUUCUAGUAGUUCCAGUGAGAAUGACCUCAGCAGUGAAUCCUCUUCCAGCUCUUCAACUGAAGGAGAGGAGGAUUUGUUUGUUUCUGCUAGUGAAAACCACCAAAACAAUCCAGCUGCUCCCUCAGGAAGUAUUGAUGAAGAUGUUGUGGUGAUAGAAGCUUCCUUCACUCCCCAGGUCACUGCCAAUGAAGAAAUUAAUGUUACCUCAACUGACAGUGAAGUGGAGAUUGUAACAGUUGGAGAAAGCUAUAGGUCUCGUUCAACCCUUGGACACUCCAGAUCUCAUUGGAGCCAAGGUUCAAGUUCUCAUACAGGUCGACCACAGGAGCCACGGAACCGAAGUAGGAUUUCUACUGUUAUACAGCCCUUGAGGCAGAAUGCUGCAGAAGUUGUGGACCUUACUGUUGAUGAAGAUGAACCUACUGUAGUACCAACCACUUCUGCAAGAAUGGAGUCACAAACUACUAGUGCUUCCAUUAACAAUUCAAAUCCAUCUACCUCUGAGCAGGCCUCUGAUACUACAUCAGCUGUCACCAGUAGUCAGCCUUCCACAGUAUCAGAGACUUCAACUACUCUUACAAGCAAUAGUGCAACUGGUACUUCUAUAGUAGAUGACUCGAGGAGAACUACAUCUAGUGCUGUAACAGAAACUGGCCCUCCUGCAAUGCCAAGGUUACCUUCCUGCUGUCCUCAGCAUUCACCAUGUGGAGGGUCAUCACAGAAUCACCACGCAUUAGGACAUCCGCACACAAGUUGUUUUCAGCAGCAUGGUCAUCAUUUUCAGCAUCAUCACCACCACCACCACACUCCCCAUCCUGCUGUCCCAGUUUCUCCUUCUUUUAGUGAUCCUACUUGCCCUGUGGAAAGACCUCCACAAGUACAAGCACCCUGUGGAGCAAAUAGUAGUUCUGGUACCAGCUACCAUGACCAGCAGGCAUUGCCAGUAGACCUGAGCAACAGUGGUAUCAGAAGUCAUGGAAGUGGUGGUUUUCACGGAGCAUCUGCAUUUGACCCCUGCUGCCCUGUUUCUUCUUCCCGAGCUGCAAUCUUUGGCCAUCAGGCUGCUGCUGCUGCCCCAAGUCAGCCAUUAUCAAUAGAUGGUUAUGGAUCAAGCAUGGUUGCACAGCCCCAGCCCCAGCCCCCUCCACAACCCUCUCUCUCAUCAUGUCGACAUUAUAUGCCACCUCCUUAUGCUUCUUUGACAAGACCACUUCACCAUCAAGCUUCUGCUUGCCCUCAUUCUCAUGGAAACCCUCCUCCUCAGACGCAGCCUCCACCUCAAGUGGAUUAUGUUAUUCCUCAUCCUGUACAUGCUUUCCAUUCUCAAAUAUCUUCUCAUGCAACAUCUCAUCCUGUGGCACCCCCACCCCCAACUCAUUUAGCCAGUACAGCUGCGCCGAUCCCUCAGCAUCUUCCUCCUACACACCAACCAAUUUCACACCAUAUUCCAGCCACAGCACCUCCAGCACAGAGAUUGCAUCCUCAUGAAGUGAUGCAGAGGAUGGAAGUUCAAAGGAGGAGAAUGAUGCAGCAUCCAACGCGGGCACAUGAACGCCCCCCACCCCAUCCACACAGGAUGCACCCAAAUUAUGGUCAUGGGCAUCAUAUUCAUGUGCCUCAAACUAUGUCCUCACAUCCUCGUCAGGCUCCAGAGAGAUCUGCCUGGGAAUUGGGAAUUGAAGCUGGAGUGACUGCAGCUACUUAUACACCUGGUGCAUUGCAUCCUCAUUUGGCCCAUUACCAUGCACCUCCUCGACUUCAUCACUUACAAUUAGGAGCUCUUCCUUUAAUGGUUCCUGACAUGGCAGGCUAUCCUCAUAUCCGUUACAUUUCAUCAGGAUUGGAUGGAACUUCAUUCAGAGGUCCUUUCAGGGGAAAUUUUGAGGAACUGAUUCAUUUGGAAGAAAGAUUAGGAAAUGUCAAUCGUGGAGCAUCCCAGGGGACAAUUGAAAGGUGUACAUAUCCACAUAAAUACAAAAAGGUAACAACUGAUUGGUUCUCACAGAGGAAACUGCACUGCAAACAAGAUGGGGAAGAAGGGACUGAGGAAGACACAGAGGAAAAGUGUACUAUCUGUUUGUCUAUUUUAGAGGAAGGUGAAGAUGUGAGGCGUCUUCCAUGUAUGCACCUUUUCCACCAAGUAUGUGUUGACCARUGGUUGAUUACCAAUAAGAAGUGCCCAAUUUGCCGAGUGGACAUUGAGGCCCAGCUGCCAAGUGAAAGUUGACACCAUGUUUCAGAAACUCUUGCCCUCCUUCUCAUUCCCAUCCUUCCUGGUACUGCAGUCAACCAAAGAUGGCAUGACUUACCUGCGCAGAUUUGGAAGCAUUGAACUUAGAGUGCUGGCUCUGCUAUAUGGUACAACUAAUGCUAGACCUACAAUUUAUGUAUACAGUUGAUUUUGAUGUAUUUAUAAAAGCAUUUUUUUUUUCUAGAUUUGACAUUUUUCCUGUAUCAUUUUACUGUAUUUUUGCAUGGUUCCUUGUAUUGCAUUUCUUUGCACAUAUUAUGGGCUUGUGACCCUAAACUUGCAGGCAAGAUUAGCUGCUUUAGUAAGUAGAAUUUUGUGGUCUUUUUGUUUUUUACGUAGUACCAAGCCUUGAAAAUUAUGACUUUUUUUUAUCCAUUACUAACCUUUAAUUUAAUCAAUCAUGUGCUUUAGUUUAAUGUAUAAAGAUCCUCUAGAAAAUGAUAAUAUUGUGUAUUAAGACAUUCCUUAAUUAGGACAAAAUGGCUGCUGUAUAUUUACAACAUGGAGUUCUGAAUUAAAUACCAUCCUUAAUACUGGGGAACAGAAUACAACCCAUAUUCAAAUCAGAUACCGGUGGUAUUCGCAUCACCAGAGUGAUCAAUAUAAAUUUUCUUGGUGUAUCUUUUCCUUCCAGCACAGUGCAGAUAGAGUUGAAUAUUGAUAUCAUACAUUUAGACUGCUGUUCUGAUUAUAUUUAUCUUUUUCUACAUUGUUUAGAACUUUAUUUCCCUGAUUGAUUUUUUUGCUGCUGUGAAACAGCUUUGAUGAACACUAAAUAUUAAUUUCAAUUAGCUGGAUUGUACAUAAUUGCAGAUUUAACAAAAUUUUAGGGAAAUUGAAAAAGACAUGUAGAAUUUUGUUCAGUCUUCUACUAAGCACGAAUAGUUAAGAUAUCUGCUUACAUUAAUUUUGUAAACACAUUUCAGUCAAGAUUUAGAAUUUCAAGUCAAUGGCAGGUAUCUAUGCAUUCAUAGAACUUCUAAAGGUCCCAGGAUCACUUUUAAGGGAUUUUUAUUAGUUUAAAGGUAAAUAAAGUGAGCUGAAUCUACAUGUCUCUUGUUUUAUUUCUCUCUAAACUUGAAAACAAUAAAUCUGCAAAUACUGUGAGGCACAAAUUAUACUGUCAACCUACUGUUGCUAUGGUUAUAGACUCCCACUUCAUACAUUACCAAGAGUCGAUCACUGAUUUAAAAUUUUUAAUUUCUAUAGUUAAGAUUUACUGCAUAAUAUAGAGUAUAAAGUUAAGUUAACAUACUAACAUUUCUCCUUUGGAGGAAUUUUAAUCCACUUCAAGAUGCAUAUUAUUGAGAUACUUUUCAUAUACAGGAUAGCCUAAUUUUAUUUGUUUAAAUAUGCUUAAUAUGCCCCAGAUUGCAAAUGCAUCCAGUCAGUAAUAUCACUGUCUGUAUGUGGAAGACAUGUUCCCAUGGAUCAUAUGUGAAGAUGUCAAUAAGCUUGCAUUAAGCCACCUGCUUUACUAGGCUAAAACAGGUCCACAACGGAGCACGCACAUCCCCCUUCCCAGUUGUUACGACAACCAAAC